rnacentral:rRNA from 1 species
GUUAAAUACUAAGUAAGGUAUGGAGCCGAAGCGAAAGCGAGUGUUAAUAGCGCGUUUAAGUCAUAUGUAAUAGACCCGAAACCGAGUGACCUAUCCAUGGUCAGGAUGAAGCUAGAGUAAAAUCUAGUGGAGGUCCGAACUGAUUGUCGUUAAAAAGGCACCGGAUGAACUGUGGAUAGCGGAGAAAUUCCAAUCGAACUCGGAGAUAGCUGGUUCUCCUCGAAAUAGCUUUAGGGCUAGCCUUGAGGUAAAGACGUAUGGGGGUAGAGCACUGAAUGAGCUAGGGGCCUAACCAGGUUACUGAACUCUAUCAAACUACGAAUACCAUAUUGUUAUACUCAGGAGUCAGACUGCGGGAGCUAAGUUCCGUGGUCAAAAGGGAAAGAGCCCAGAUCGUCAAUUAAGGUCCCAAAGAUAUAGCUAAGUGGAAAACGAUGUGAUUUUGCGUAAACAACCAGGAUGUUGGCUCAGAAGCAGCCACUCAUUCAAAGAGUGCGUAACAGCUCACUGGUCGAGUGAAAUUGCGCGGAAAAUUACCGGGGCUAAGCUAUACACCGAAAUUGCGGAUUCAAGGAUUUAUCCUUGAGUGGUAGAGGAGCAUUCUGUUGUAGGUUGAAGUAUGACCGUAAGGACAUGUGGACGAAGCAGAAGAGAGAAUGCUGGAAUAAGUAGCGAGAGCAAGGUGAGAAUCCUUGCCGUCGAAAGUCUAAGGUUUCCUGGGGAAGGUUCGUCCGCCCAGGGUUAGUCGGGACCUAAGGAGAGGCCGAGAGGCGUAUCUGAUGGACAGCAGGUUGAUAUUCCUGCACUAUAGAUAUACUUAAAAGAUGCAAGGGACGCAGAAGUGGAAGGAAUGCGAGGAAGAGGAAAAACUCGUAUCGAAAGAUAUAGUGAAAAUAAAGUAACGAAUUCCCAAGAAGCACGCUGACGAGAAAAGCUUGUAGAUAUUGUAUAUAAAUACCCGUACCGCAAACCGACACAGGUAGAUGAGGAGAGGAUCCUAAGACGAGCGGGAGAAGCAUUGUUAAGGAACUCGGCAAAUUGACCCCGUAACUUCGGAAUAAGGGGUGCCUAUGUAAAAGUAGGCCGCAGAGAAUAGGCCCAAGCAACUGUUUAACAAAAACACAGGUUUCUGCUAAAUCGAAAGAUGAAGUAUAGGAGCUGACGCCUGCCCAGUGCUGGAAGGUUAAGGGGAAGAGUUAAGACUUGAUCUGAAGCUUAGAACCAAAGCCCCAGUGAACGGCGGCCGUAACUAUAACGGUCCUAAGGUAGCGAAAUUCCUUGUCAGGUAAGUUCUGACCCGC